rnacentral:rRNA from 1 species
AUUGAACGCUGGCGGCAUGCUUUACACAUGCAAGUCGAACGGUAACAGGCCUUCGGUUGCUGACGCGUGGCGAACGGGUGAGUAAUUCAUCCGAACGUGCCCAGCGGUUGGGGAUAACGCAGCUAAAGCUGUGCUAAUACCGCAUGUGAUCUGAGGAUGAAAGCGGGGGACGAGGCAGCAAUGUUUGGCCUCGCGCCUUUGGAGCGGCCGAUGUCAGAUUUGAUAGUUGGUGGGCUAAAGGCCUACGAAGCCGACGAUCUGUAGCUGGUCUGAGAGGACGAUAGGCGGCACGGGGACGGAGACACGCCCAAGACUACUGAGGGAGGGAGCAGUGGGGAACGUUGGACAAUGGGGGCAAGCCUGAUCCAGCAAUGCCGCGUGCGGGAAGACGGCCUCCGGGGUGUAAACCGCGUUUGUACGGAACGAAAAGGCUCUGCCUAAUACCUGGGGCUGAUGACGGUACCGUAAGAAUAAGCACCGGCUAACUACGUG